rnacentral:rRNA from 1 species
CAGCCGCCGCGGGAAUACGUAGGGUGCAAGCGUUAAUCGGAAUUACUGGGCGUAAAGCGUGCGCAGGCGGUUCGCUAAGACAGAUGUGAAAUCCCCGGGCUUAACCUGGGAACUGCAUUUGUGACUGGCGGGCUAGAGUAUGGCAGAGGGGGGUAGAAUUCCACGUGUAGCAGUGAAAUGCGUAGAGAUGUGGAGGAAUACCGAUGGCGAAGGCAGCCCCCUGGGCCAAUACUGACGCUCAUACACGAAAGCGUGGGGAGCAAACAGGAUUAGAUACCCGCGUAGUCCCUGUCUCUUAUAA